rnacentral:rRNA from 1 species
AGAAUCAACGCUGGCGGCGUGCCUCAGACAUGCAAGUCGAACGCGAAAGCCCCCUUCGGGGGGGCAAGUAGAGUGGCGCACGGGUGAGUAACACGUAGGUAAUCUACCUUCGGAUGGGGAAUAACAAUCGGAAACGGUUGCUAAUACCGCAUAAUGCAGCGGCACCUAAUGGUGACAGUUGUUAAAGCGGGGGAUCGAAAGACCUCGCGUCUGAAGAGGAGCCUGGCGGCGGAUUAGCUAGUUGGUAGGGUAACGCUUACCAAGGCAACGAUCCGUA